CAGUUUGACAAGUCUUUCUUCAAGUACAUUAUAAAUAACUGUUCAUAUGCAGACAUAGGUUGAGCAAUGUUGUGUCAUAGUCCUGGGUCGGUGAACCAGUGUUUUGAGUUUUGUACUUUUGUUUUCUUAGGAUGGUCGUGUUUCAGGUUUCAGUUUGUGCUUCUAGCUCUUCUGUACUCCUUGGUUUGAGAUUUCUACUGCUUAGCUUUUGGUCCCUGUACCCCCAAUGUUCUGUGUUGGUUUACUUCUGUCCUCGUGUUUGUCUUCUAAUUCCCCAGUCAGUAGUGUCUAAUGUCGCCCCUGUCCCUGUACUCAGUGUUCCCUCUGUUCAGUGUCUAGUCUGGGUCUGUGUGUCUGUCGUGUACUUCCUGUUUUACUUUGACAGUCUCUCGUCAGUGUGCAGCAUGUUGUGUUUGGUCUUUCCCUGUCUCAUUAUUAUUAUUAGUGUCAGCUGUGCUCCCUGUGUGCUCCUCCUUGUUAGCUUUCUGUGUAUUUAUGUCAGAGUCUCCCUCAGUUCCAUGUCAUGUCGUCCCUCUUAGUUGUGUGGAAUUCUCCACGUGUUUCCUGAGUGGUCAGCUAACUAGCUUUUCCCAGUUUAGGUUUGUAUUGUUUAUUUUCCCAAUGUGUAAAUAAAGCCAUUUUUUGAGUUACGUCGCGUUUCCGAGUCUGCAUCUGGGUCUUUUCCUGCCUGCACACAGCUGCUCCCUGACAUGUUCAGUACAGGGUCAGGAUGGCUGGUCAGUGACUUACACCUCUGCUCAGAUUUGUGCCUUAAAAGGAUCAACAGUGGACAUACGCUGCACCUACACGUACCCAUCCAGAGUAAAUGGGAACGUGACUGUAGUUGAAAAAGCUUUAUGGUUUACUAAAAUGAAGGGUGAUGAACAUGUGGAUGUGAGGACAGAGGCAGAGUUUGCAGGUCGUGUUCAGUAUCACUGUGAUAACAAAGACUGCACUCUGAGAAUCACAGACCUGAGAGAGAGCGACUCAGCUGAGUACAAGUUCAGAUUUGUGACAAACCAACCAGGAGGGAAAUAUACUGGAUCACCUGGAGUCACUCUGUCUGUCACAGUUCUCCAGGCACAAGUGAUAAAAACUUGGCCAACCUUGUAUCCUUCCUGGAAGAAGGUGACGUGUCAGAGCGGUUGUCGUCUACCUGAUCCUCAUUCAUAUGUCUGGUACCAGAACGAAGUGAAUAUUGACAGAAAGGAGUCUUCUUUUGAAAAAUACUUUGGUUAUACAGACAGCAUUUCCUGUGCUGUAAAAGGAUACGAGAAGCUUCCCUCUCCUUCAGUGUGUGUUGAUGAUCAAACCUGUAACAGAGUGUCUUACACCAGCAGAAGCAUCUGUGCCCUCAAAGGUUCAUCAGUGGACAUUUCUUGCAUCUACAGUCAUACACAUCCUGCUGUGUCCAAAUUCUGGUUCAGUCCUGAACGUAGUCAUCAGCAGCAGCAUCGCUCACACCCCGAGGACCUCAGAAAAGACUCCCACUAUGCAGGUCGUGUUGAGGUCAUUGAAACAGAGAGAGGACGCUCCACUCUGAGAAUCAGAGACCUGACAGAGAGGGAUUCAGCCGAGUAUCACUUUAAAUUCAAAACACAAAGCGUUGAAUGGAAGCGCAGUUUACCUGGAACAACUCUGACUGUAACAGCUCUGCAGGUGAAGGUGAGCAGAAUAAUAUCAGUCCAUCAGACUCAGACUGAGGCAGAGCUGAAGUGUGAAAGCAGCUGCAGUCCAGCUGGUCGUCUUUCUUACGUCUGGUUCAAGAACGGACAGAAAAACACGACACAGCAAACUUCUGCUUAUACAGACUACUUUAAUCCUGGAGACAACAUCUCCUGUGCUUUCUCAGGAUACGAGGAUUACCGCUCUCCAUCAGUGUAUCCUUCAAAGCUUCCCUCUGUGUCAGUGAGUCCCUCUGGUGAGAUAGUGGAGGGCAGUUCAGUCACUCUGACGUGUCGUACACAUGUUGAUCCUGCAGCUAACAGCAUUUUGUACAAAGGCAACCAAACCUUGCCUCUAACACUAGAAGGUAUUUAUCAUUUCACCUCCAUCAGCUCUGAGGACAGAGGAAUCUAUGAGUGCAAGACUGAAGAUCAGCUCUCUGUGUCUUUGUUCAUAGAUGUCCAGUAUGCUCCAAAGCUUCUCUCUGUGUCAGUCAGUCCCUCUGUGUGUAUAUACAUGUUUUACAAAUGAGAGGUCAGUCACUCUGACCUGUAGCAGUGAUGCUAACCCAGGAGCUAACUACACCUGGUACAAGGAGAAUGAUAACUCAGCAAAAGCAUUCGGACAGAACUUGAUCAUCACUGACUUCAGACCUGAACACAGUGGGAGUUAUUACUGUGAAGCCCAGAACACAAGAGGACGUCGCAGCUCCACCUCCCAUCAUCUCACUGUUGUGACAGGGAAAUCAAUAAUUAUACAGAAUAUUAUCAGGUUGACUUUGGUGGUCCUGAUGCUGAUUCCUCUGCUUCUUGUGAUUUUGUGGAUGAGGAAGAAGAAACCUUUGAGCUCUACAGCUGAAUCAAAUGAACUUAUGGAGACAAUGGAGAUGCAGUCAAACCAAAGACAGGACUCAGCUGAUGGAAACAGAAAGUAAAAAACAGCACAGUGGAGAGUGAUGCUGAUGCAAUGCAGAUUUAUAUUUUUACUUUUAGCUCCAGUUAUUUAAAGUUUAUUUGUCAGCAGCAGAACAUUAGACUAUAUUACAGCUUAUUUUUGGUCUUCUGUUACCUGUUCAGAUUAUGUGUAGUACAGAAGUCCUUAUCCAAGGUGUAUUUUUAGAUUCAUUUGUUUGUAAAAGUUAACAAAAAGAUGCUGAUCCAGAAGAAAAUAUUUUACAGCACUUGCGGCCUGUUUUUUGUUAACAAAAGAGAAAAACCUGCAGCUACAACAGCUCUGUAUAUUGAAGAUCAGUUCAGGUUGAUGCUUG